GAACCAUUAGGCCCAGAAUAUUGGAAGUUAGUGGGAUGAUUGGACAUGCCAAAUAGAUGAUCGCUAUUGAAGCCAACCAUCAGUGUCUCUGUGACUUGUGCUCCUGUCCCGUAUUGACUUCUUACCUAUACAACUACGCAUUGGGGGAGACAUGCGCUUUUCUACAAAAGCAUCUUCUAUUUUUAACUGAUAUCGAUUCUUUUUUUGAGUCUCUAUGUUCUAGGCUUCGUGUCAGAUAAUUUGAGGUUGGAUCAUUUGAUCCAGAAAGAAACCUCGCAUGAUGAUGGAUAUUAUGAUGGUUAUAAUUUGCCAAUUACAGUGAUGAAACAUGCGCUGGUCUUGAAUGUUUCUGUUUUGAAAUAUAUUACCAAUAUGGUGAAUCAUCAAUAGUCCUAUAAGGAUGUGAAUUAAAACACAUCUGACAAAGCAUGAUUAACAAUAUAUUAGUCUUCAUUUCCAUAUAAAUUAAAUUGUACACUGCAUGAAAAGUGGAAUUUACUUCUAAAUUAAAUUUUCUUAGAUUUCAUGUGCAAAAUAUAAUUCCAAUUGAAGUAAACUUGUUUUAAGUAUAUUUUAAAUGCAGACGCGGUGCAAGCUGUCAAUAUCAACGAUAUCGUCGGUGUAUGCGCCUAAUACGACCGGAAAUUCCGACAUUGUUUGAUCUGGUACACUAUUCGGACUCGUCCUAUUACUACUAAUUCACUUGGAUAGAUCUACAAUAAUUGACGUAUUUGCACCUUCUCCGACUGAUAUUGAAAAUAACGAAGCAGUGAAUACAAACAAGCAUAGAAAACAACGCAUCAGUGAAGUCAUGGAGACCCAGAGAAAUAGAAAACCAAAGACGAAAAAACAGCGAAUUCAUGGAGGUCGCGAAAAUAGCGAAAAUAUUCAUUUCGCGAAAACACCCGUUAUACAGUAUUUUGAAACAUUCUGUAUGAAGAACAUGAUAAUGCAUUGCACGAUAGUACAUGCUUAUGUUGGAAGCACUAUUUAAUUCUCAUACUUAGUUACUUGUUUAUUGUUUAUCUGAAGCUGCUACAUGAGCUUAAAAUAAUCACAAUUACCCUGAACAGGGAAAAAUCCAGUCUGAAUCGAAUUUAACGCUUUUGUUUGUAAUUUAGAAGUUAAUCUUAUUAUUGGCAAAAAGUCAUCAGCGGAUGUACCACUCAUUACAUAAAACUACUCAGAAAACUUUAAUAUUGGUGUCAAAUAGUCCUGUAAAAAAUAACAUCUCAAAUCUCAUUGAUAGGCAAAGUACUGAGAUAAUGAUUAUGAUUUACUCGUUUUUUGUUGUUGUUUUUUGUUUUACCCUGUAGAAGGACAACCAUCCUAUACAUAAAGACAUGCACAUGAUAAAGCUUUCUGACUGACUUUUCUGCUCUUUAUAGAGAAAAUCUAUUUUGCUACCUCAUUCAUCAUUUGUUAAUUUUCCGUUGGCACUAUCAGGACUGCGGGUGCUAACUCACAUUUAAAAAACGCCAAAGAUUGGGAAUGAAAGUUUUAAAAAGUGUACCUUUUUGUUAGUGCUUAUAUAGCAAAAGAAAGUGCAAAGCUAUAAAAGAUGUGGCAUGGAA
rnacentral:lncRNA from 1 species